rnacentral:rRNA from 1 species
AUUGAACGCUGGCGGCAGGCCUAACACAUGCAAGUCGAGCGGAUGAAGGGAGCUUGCUUCUGGAUUCAGCGGCGGACGGGUGAGUAAUGCCUAGGAAUUUGCCUGGUAGUGGGGGCUAACGUCCGGAAACGGGCGCUAAUACCGCAUACGUCCUGAGGGAGAAAGAGGGGGAUCUUCGGACCUCACGCUAUCAGAUGAGCCUAGGUCGGAUUAGCUAGUUGGUGGGGUAAAGGCCUACCAAGGCGACGAUCCGUAACUGGUCUGAGAGGAUGAUCAGUCACACUGGAACUGGAACACGGUCCAGACACCUACGGGAGGCAACAGAGGGGAAUAUUGGACAGUGGGCGAAAGCCUGAUCCAGCCAUGCCGCGUGUGUGAAGAAGGUCUUCGGAUUGUAAAGCACUUUAAGUUGGGAAGAAGGGCAGUAAGUUAAUACCUUGCUGUUUUGACGUUACCUACAGAAUAAGCACCGGCUAACUACGUG